rnacentral:rRNA from 1 species
AAAAGCUUUCUUUAAUUGAAUAAUUGAAUUUAAUUUUUUAGUGCAAAAGCAAAAAUAAAAAUUAGGGACAAGAAGACCCUAUGAAUUUUUUAUUAAAUUUUAUAAAACUUUAUAUAAAAUUUAAUUUAAUUGGGGUGAUGGAAAAAGAAUAAAUAUCUUUUUUUUUAAAAAAAAAUUGGUUCCGUUUUUAGCGAUUAAAUGAAAAAAAUACUCUAGGGAUAACAGCGUAAUAAUUUUGGAUAGUUCAUAUAGAUAAAAUAGUUUGCGACCUCGAUGU